rnacentral:lncRNA from 1 species
AAAAUUUUAUUUUAAAAUUAAAAAUUAUAAAUAAUUUUUUUCUAUUUCUCUUUGCCGCUUCGCUUUAUCUCUCCCCUCUAAUUUCCUCUUCAUCUUUCUUCUUUAUUUUCAUCAAAUCCAUCAUUAAUCGAACGUUUGUUCAAAAAUUUUAUUUUAAAAUUAAAAAUUAUAAAUAAUUCAUCUUAUUUAUGGUGUUAACAACUUUAAGUACAUUUAAAUCAUUUAACAACAAAAAAGUGACUUUAUUUUCAUCGAAUUCAUCAUUAAUCAAGAUUUGUUCAAAAAUUUUAUUUUAAAAUUAAAAAUUUUAAAUAAUUUUUUUCUAUUUUUCUUUGCCGCUUCGCUUUAUCUCUCCCCUCUAAUUUCCUCUUCAUCUUUCCUCUUUAUUUUCAUCGAAUCCAUCAUUAAUCGAAGGUUUGUUCAAAAAUUUUAUUUUAAAAUUAAAAAUUAU